AGGGGCAGGAGCCCAAGCAGUGGCCAGUUUCACAAAGAGGCUGCAGGAAGCUGCUUCCAGCAGUCUGAGUCCUGAGGAGGAGACGAUAACAGUGGGAGAAGCACCUGGUAACAGCGGCACUUCAUCCAGGAAGAAAACAGGAUCUAAAAUAUAAACAACAUCCUUACAACACAAAAUAUGAGCGUCCAUCAUGGACCAACCAAUAACUUCAAUAAAAGUGCUGUAUCCCCUGGCAGAUGAUGAGUAUCUUCAAGAUGUUUGUGUAGAUCAGGAAUCUGGGAAUGGCUUGACUGGAUCCUCCAGCCCAGGGAUUCAUACAAGGCUGCAAUCAAGGUAUCAGCCAAGGCUGCGGUCAUCUCAAGGCGUAACUGGGGCAAGAUCUGCUUUCAAGCUUACUCACAAUGCUGUUUGCAGAAUUCAGUUCCUGCUGGGCUAUUGGACUAAGAGCUACAGUUUCUUAGUACUUAGCCUCUCCAGAGGGCAGCUCACAAUAGAGUAGCUGACUUUAUCAAAGUGAGAAAGUGAGAAAGAGCAAGAGAGUGCCAGCAGGAUAGAAGUCACAGCCUUUUAUAACCUACUUUCAGAAGUAAUAGCCCAUCACUUUUGUUACUUAGAAGGAAGUCAUUAGGUCUAGGCCACCCAUGGUGAGGGGUUACACAAGAACAUACCUACCAGAAGGCAAGGAUCACUGGGGGCUAUUUUAGAAGUAGUCUACUCCAAAGUGGUUCACCAGAAACGAGUUGCUCUUUCUCAACAAAGAAUUAGAGGUAAAGUUGUUGAGAGAGAGUUUAACAUGACAUAAAAGAAGAAUUGGUUAUGAAUCAUGGCAUUCGGAUCUAUAAGGAAGUAGAAUGAUUUAUCAUCCUCAGAUUGACCUUUUUGAUUCACUUUCUUCAAUGGGCUUUCUGGAAAGAAGUUACCUGGCACCUUACCUGACUCUCUCUCAAUUGAAGUGUUGGUUAAGGUAGAAUGGCCUCACCAAUCUUUCAGUGUCUCAUCCUUAUUUGAACAUUCGAUCGUACAGUAGAUUUGCAGUCUUAUAGUGUGUCAAUGACAGCACCACUUUUUCCAAAUCUUAUCCAGUGAUUCAGUAAUAAAGGCAUUUCUUGUGAUUCUGGAGCCUCAGCUAAGCUUUGAAACACACGUUCUGUGGCAGGGCAAGUUUUUUCAUGGUCUUCAGUGGCCAAAGAACAACAGUGAUUGUGAUAAGUUCCUAGAUGGAAUGAUAAUCUGUUGCAGGUAUUCAAUAAAGAAGAAUCCAAACAUAUUAGUUUUUAAGUUUUUGUUUAAAUUUAAUUAAUGAAUUAAUAAAUUAAUUAGUUUUCCAGAUGGCAUCUCACUCUAUUGCCCAGUCUGGAGUGCAGUGGUGCAGUUAUAGCUCACUGUAGCCUCAAACUCCUGGGCUCAAGCAUUUCUCCCACCUCAGCCUCCCAAGAAGCUGGGAGUACAGGGUUCACCACCCUGCCUGGCUAAUUUUUUAAAAUUUCUUUUUAGAGAUGGGGUCUCACUUUGUUGGCCAUGCUGGUAUUGAACUCCUGGCUUCAAGCAGUUCUCCCUCCUCAGACUCCCAAAGUACUAGGAUCACAGAUGUGAGCCACCACACCCAGCACCUAGCCUCUUAGUGGGGAGAGGGAACACCUUUUUUUUUCAAUCCUCUGGAAACCAGAAACUUGUUACUGUGGAUUUUAAAGGAAUUUCAAAGGUCUUCUACAUUUUUGUGGGAGACAAACUCAACCAAAACGCUUUCUCCUCAUGAGGGUACUAAGACAACUCAAGGGUAAAAUAAUAGUUUUUUUUUGUCCUGGCGCAGUGGCUCACGCCUGUAAUCCCAGCACUUUGGGAGGCCGAGGUGGGCGGAUCACGAGGUCAGGAAGUCGAGACCAUCCUGGCUAACACGGUGAAACCCUCUCUCUACUAAAAAAAAAAGUACAAAAAAUUAGCCGGGCGCGGUGGUGGGCGCCUGUAGUCCCAACUACUCGGGAGGCUGAGGCAGGGGAAUGGCGUUAACCCGGGAGGCGGAGCUUGCAAUGAGCCGAGAUUGUGCCACUGCACUCCAGCCUGGGCGACAGAGCGAGACUCCAUCUCAGAAAGAAACAAACAAACAAACAAAAAUAAUAGUUUUUUUUUAAUAGUGCUGGACAAGUGUUACCUACAUGUAAAAGAAUAUAGUUAGAUCCCUAUCUUAUAUACAAAAAUUAACCAAAAAUAGAUAAAAAUCUAAAUGUAAGAGCUAAAACUAUACAACUCUUAGUAGAAAACAGAAGAGUACAUCUUUGUGAUAGUGGAUUAGGCUGUAGUUUAUUAGACAUAACCAAAAACAACAAAAGGAAGAAUAGAUAAAUUUGACUUCAUCAAAAUUAAAAACUUCUGUGUUACAAAGGAUACCAUCAGUGAAAAGGCAACCCCACAGAUGGGGAGAAGAGAUUUGCAAGUCAUGUAUAUGAUAAGGGAUUUGUAUCCAAAGCAUAUAAAGAACGCUUACAACUCAGGAAAAAAAUAAAAAUGAAAAGGCACAGAACCCAAUUUGAAUUCAGGCAAAGGAUUAGAACAGACAUUUCUCUAAAGAUGACAUACAAAUGGUCAAUACACACAUACAAGGAUUCUCAACAUCUGUUAGUCAUCAGAGAAAUGAAAAUGAGAACCACAAUGAGUUAACACUUCACACCUGCUAGGAUGGGAAUAAUAAAAAUGACAGAUAAUAAGAAGCGUCAGUGAGUUAAUGGAGAAAUUGGAGGCUCAGACUUUGAUGGUGGGAAUGUAAAAUGGCACAGCUGCUUUGACAAACAGUUUGGGAUUUUGUCAAAAAGUUAAACAUGGGCUGGGCGCCAUGGCUCACACCUGUGAUCCCAGCACUUUAGGAGGGAAAGGCAGGCAGAUCACUUGAGGUUAGCAGCCUGACCAGCAUGGUAAAACCCCAUCUCUACUAAAAAUACAAAAAAUUAGCUGGGCAUGGUUGUGCAUGCCUGUAAUCCCAGCUACUCGGGAGGCUGAGGCAUGAGAAUUGUUUGACUCCAGGAGGCAGAGGUUGAAGUGAGCCAUGAUCGCGCCACUGCACUCCAGCCUGGGUGAUGGAGUAAGACUCCGUCUC
rnacentral:lncRNA from 10 species